GUGGGGAAUAUUGGGCAAUGGGGGAAACCCUGACCCAGCGACGCCGCGUGAGGGAAGAAGGCCUUAGGGUCGUAAACCUCUGUUGUGUGGGAAGAAGAGCGUGACGGUACCACACGAGGAAGUCCCGGCUAACUACGUGCCAGCAGCCGCGGUAAUACGUAGGGGACGAGCGUUGUCCGGAUUUACUGGGCGUAAAGGGCGCGUAGGCGGUCAUUUAAGUCAGCUGUGAAAUGGUUUGGCUUAACCGGAUCAUGCGGUUGAAACUGGAUGACUGGAGUGCUGGAGAGGCAAGUGGAAUUCCCAGUGUAGCGGUGAAAUGCGUAGAUAUUGGGAAGAACACCGGUGGCGAAGGCGACUUGCUGGCCAGCAACUGACGCUGAGGCGCGAAAGCCAGGGGAGCAAACAGGAUUAGAAACCCCAGUAGUCC
rnacentral:rRNA from 1 species